CAGCAUUUACUCACAUCAACAGAUAACUAUGCAAUGCAACGUAUUCGUGGAUACUAAUGCAAUCAACCUAUGGCAUAAUCAUGAUGCAUGAGAUAUGCUAAAACAUUUCAUUAGUCAUUUCAAAGAAUUAAGCUUAGUUCCACUCACCUCUGGCUAACUGGACUGACUGACUCUGCAGGCUCUGAAAACGCUGGGCAGUACUCACUACUG
rnacentral:lncRNA from 1 species